GAUCCUGGCUCAGGACGAACGCUGGCGGCGCGCCUAACACAUGCAAGUCGAACGAGCGAGAGAGAGCUUGCUUUCUCAAGCGAGUGGCGAACGGGUGAGUAACGCGUGAGGAACCUGCCUCAAAGGGGGGGACAACAGUUGGAAACGACUGCUAAUACCGCAUAAGCCCACAGGUCGGCAUCGACCAGAGGGAAAAGGAGCAAUCCGCUUUGAGAUGGCCUUGCGUCCGAUUAGCUAGUUGG
rnacentral:rRNA from 1 species